UGGUCGCAUGGUCUAGCUGGUUAGGACGCCUGCCUGUCACGCAGGAGAUCGCGGGUUCGAUCCCCGCUGUGACCGU
rnacentral:tRNA from 2 species